rnacentral:rRNA from 1 species
GGGGUAAUUCCCGAUGUUGUCGAAAGACCAAACUCGCAAGAGGCUUUGAGAUCGGCCUAGGUCCGAUCAGCUAGUUGGUAGGGUAAUGGCCUACCAAGGCUACGACCGGUAGGGGAGGUGAGAGCCUGACCCCCAACGACGGAACUGAGACACGGUCCGUACUCCUACGGGAGGCAGCAGUCGAGAAUAUUCCACAAUGGGCGAAAGCCUGAUGGAGCGACGCCGCGUGCAGGAUGAAGGCCUUCGGGUUGUAAACUGCGGUAGUAAAAUAAGAACGCAAGUGACUGUUUUACGGAAAGAGGUUGGUAACUACGUGCCAGCACCCGCGGUAAUACGUAGACCUCGAGCGUUAUCCGGAUUUAUUGGGCGUAAAGCGCGUGUAGGCGGUCUUGCGCGUCAUCUGUUAAAGCCCACGGCCUAACCGUGGAAGUGCAGGCGAUACGGCAGGACUAGAGGAGGUUAGAGGUGCAUAGAACGCACGGUGUAGGGGUGAAAUCCGUUGAUAUCGUGCGGAAUACCAAAGGCGAAGGCAUUGCACUGGGACCUUCCUGACGCUGAGACGCGAAAGCGUGGGGAGCAAAAAGGAUUCGUUGUUUUGCGCUUACUCGUGAACAAAUCAUAAUGAAAAAAUUCACGCGGUCCGCAACGAAUGUGCUUUUGAAAGCAGUUUAAGAUUGUUGGCUGCUUUCAAAAGCACAUUCGUUGCGGACCGAUAAAGAGAAUUUUUUCACGGUGAUUUGUUCACGAGCGGCAAAACCCCUCAUGGGUUGAGGGAAGACAGAGUCCCAAAAGUGAGAAGCGAGGGAUGAGGAGUGAGGGGUGAGAAUUUUCACGCCCCCCAUUUCACAACCCCUACCUCCCAUUUUUGUAAACUUGGCUAUAUGCUGGAAAACCUGCGAAUGCCGAAGUACCCGAAAGGGUGACAAUCUUCGGACGAUGCAGAUAAUCAGCAGGAAACUUAUGGAUAUCGAACAAUGGGGAGUGUAAUGCCAGAAUUCGAAACGUCUGGAGGCGAGACCGGAAACAUUAAGCGGUAUCUUGCUAAAGGAUAUUUGAAGAGAGAAAUUUCUUCUACGGAUUGCAUUGGCACAGCAAAGUUGCACUAUUCCAUUAGGGAGCGGAGAUUCGUCUCUGCUCCCACCCAUUAUUCGAUAGCUGUAAGGAUCCUCAGAGACUACAUGCCGAGCACCGUCGAAGACGGCGGAAUGCCUAAUAUCUAAUUACUAAUUUCUAACGAAUGCCUAAUGUCAAAUUCCCAAUUCGACAUUCCAGCAUUGGACAUUCGUUAGAAAUUAGAAAUUAGAAAUUAGAAAUUUCGCGCGCUUCGCGUGGUGAUAAUAUAGUCCGAACUGCAUGGCGACAUGCAGAGCUGGCCAGAAAUGAGUCAGCCCGGUGGCAGUUUUGAAAUUUGUAAUUUGGAUAUUGGUCAUUCAUUAGAAAUUAGACCAAUUAGAAAUUAGAAAUUUCAAUUCUGUUGCUGUGCAACAGAAUUGUAGAUACCCUUGUAGUCCACGCCCUAAACGAUGCCUGCUUGGUGUUUCGAGUAUCGACCCUCGGAGCGCCGGAGCUAACGCGUUAAGCAGGCCGCCUGGGAAGUACGGCCGCAAGGCUAAAACUCAAAGGAAUAGACGGGGACUCGCACAAGCGGUGGAACAUGUGGUUUAAUUCGAUAGCAAACGAGGAACCUUACCAGGGCUUGAAAUGUGUGCUGACGGGUGGCGGAAACGUUGCCCUUCUCACAAGGACAGUACACGCAGGUGCUGCAUGGUUGUCGUCAGCUCGUGUCUUGAGAUGUUCCCUUAAGUGGGGAAACGAGCGCAACCCCUAUUGCGCGUUACAAGUGUCGCGCGAAACUGCCCCCGCUUUUGUGCGCGAGGCGGAGGGAGGUGAAGCGGAAUUUGAAGGCCGUCUUCGAA